rnacentral:tmRNA from 1 species
GGGGUAGUUCAUGGUUUCGACAUAUGUAACUAGAUAUGAUUGCAAGUGGUCGGCAUACCUUAAGUGCAAACCUAAAAUUAAAUGACGAAACUAAUAACUAUAGUUUCGCUCCUGCUUUUGCCUAAUAGUAGGUUAAGGGAGCACUUCUACUUAAUUUCUCUUAUAGGUUAAGAUAGGGGUUCAUAAAUAUAAGAUAUAAUAUAUUAUUUGUUUAGGAUAAUAUAUCGAAAUUUACUAAACUUACUAAUUAUGAGGUUGGUGUAGAGCCAUUUAAUUAGGACAUAUCAAAUCUACCUAAACUUGUAGAUAUUGUAUAAUAGAACAUAUUGGACAGGAGUUCGACUCUCCUCUACUCCACCA